GGCAAAUUAUGCUAUGGUGAUUGCUCUGAAAAUUUACGACUUGGAUUAUAUACUUAGUUCCCCAAAAUGUGCACUGUGUGCUUCACAGAACAAAAUACAAAAGAAAACAAACAAACAAACAAACAAAACCUGGGGAAAUAGCUAAGAAAUUCUUUUUGCUAUCAGCAAAAAGAAGCAGUUUUGAUAAAGUAAUUCAGCCACUCCUCCACCAAAGGUAGGAUGUAUACUUUACAUGGGCUCAUAAAUACAAUUUGUGUGUGUGAAGUACAACCAAGUGUGUUUGCAAGAUGGACCAGAUCCAAAGCCCACUGAAGGUAAUGAGAGAAUGUAAUACACCAUAUUUCAUGCAUACAAGUGAGCCCUGAAGUGGUCAGGCAGUGGGACUAGAUGAAGGUCCCUUCCAACCAAACUAUUUUAUUCUGCAAAAUGUGCACAUAAAAAGUGUGUAGGCAUUUAGAUGUGAAGGUGUGCACAGGAGCACAUGUCCUAUCUGUGUGUCUGCACAGGCAUGCCUGCAUACACAGCCAGAAAAUAUGCUGCAUUUUGGCAUGCACAUAUUCUGUAUGCAGGGUUGUCAUGAAGUCAUUGCAGGAUAUCUAUUAUUUGAUUAAAUUUUCCCCCUUUCAUAAUGCAUUUAAAGCCCAUUUGCCAUGAUUCCUGGUGCAGAGAAGGAAGUGUGGAAGUUAUCAGUUCAGUUUUAGGUGGUCUGUUUCCUGGUGAGAAGAGGUAAGAUGAUGGUCCCUAGGUGGGACGGUUAAGUCACACAGAGAAAGGGCACAGCAAGAGGCCACGGUCUUGUUUGUUUUCCUUUUUUAGAUGGCAACAACCCUAAGCAAUCACAUCACCUUGCAGCCACUGCACAGCCAUGAAGAAUAGCUGAAAAUAAAACUGAGCCUCCUCAGAGAACAACAGGCCAUGGAACAAAUUGCUGGCUGUCCCUCUCAGAGAGAAGACUGCUAGAAGCCUUAUCCCUCCUGAGUGCCACAGAGAAGGACGAACAUCCAGGCUGCCUCUCCAUGAUGGCAAAGGAAUGAUAUAUUUGUUUCAAGGUAAAAGAGGCCUUAAUGUAGCAUCUGGGGCUGUGUCCAUGCAGGUGGCAGGGUUUGGGGUGCCCUUGGUCCUGCAGAGGGGAACCGUGGUGUGUCUGAGCGAGCCGUAACUGGGGUGGGGGGUAGGAGGUGGAGGCACCAGCCGCCAGCGCCUUGGAGCUGAACCGCUUUCAGUAUGCAAUUAUACUGUCCCUAAAGGUAAAUAGAAGGCUUGUGUGUGAGAAAUAUUUCUGUAAAAGAGUUUGCAGCUGAAAAGAUAACACUAUUCCCUGCCUCCUACUUGGCUGUACAAUUUUAAUUAUGUCAGGGAAUCUCUCCUAUUUUAUAUUCCAUAUAUAUUUAUGGAAUAAGCUGUUGGCAAAUAAGACAUUAUUUCAAAUAAUUUAAUGUAUUUAUUAAAAGAGAUUACAAAUCUAUCCAGGCUAUAGUCG
rnacentral:lncRNA from 1 species